rnacentral:rRNA from 1 species
AAAUGAAUUGACGGGGGCCCGCACAAGCGGAGGAACAUGUGGUUUAAUUCGAUGAUACGCGAGGAACCUUACCCGGGAUUGAAAUGUAUAUGACGUUAGAUUGAAAGAUUUAGCUCCACUUCGGUGGCAUAUAUGUAGGUGCUGCAUGGUUGUCGUCAGCUCGUGCCGUGAGGUGUCGGCUUAAGUGCCAUAACGAGCGCAACCCUUAUCGUUAGUUACUAACAGUUUAAGCUGAGGACUCUAGCGAGACUGCCGUCGUAAGGCGAGAGGAAGGUGGGGAUGACGUCAAAUCAGCACGGCCCUUAUAUCCGGGGCGACACACGUGUUACAAUGGUGAGGACAAAGGGACGCUACCUGGUGACAGGAUGCCAAUCUCCAAACCUCAUCUCAGUUCGGAUUGGAGUCUGCAACUCGACUCUAUGAAGCUGGAUUCGCUAGUAAUCGCACAUCAGCCAUGGUGCGGUGAAUACGUUCCCGGGCCUUGUACACACCGCCCGU